UAUAUAUAUAUAUAUAUAUAUAUAUAAAAAAAUAAAGCUGGCACUAUAAAGGCCUCAUACUCUAUAAACACCUUGUUUUCAUUAACCAAAAAUGCAUAGGAUACCUUUUUUUUUUUUUUUUUCCUUCACCUGGGUACUGCAAGAUGACCUUAAUAAAAUUAAAGAUAUUGAAUGUUAAAAUAUACAUAGAACGUGCCCGCAGAUGCUGCUUGUAUUUGUCUAGUUUUUAUACAUGUAGUUUUGAAGUUACAAUUAGUGUAAGUUUAAAAAUGAGAUUUUUAGAAGUGUUGUUUGAAUUGCUUUGCCCAUGGAGCUUGAGGACUGCUGCUGAAGAACAAUGGAGAAGGAUAUGUGUAACCUGGUCAGGUGAGAACGCAUAAUGCGUAGUCAUUUUAAGUAGGAGUGUCAGUUUAACAAAAGGGUAAGAAGUUAGCAUAAAUGAGACUUAGUUCCUUGAAAUUAUACAUAGUAAAUGGGGUGGUGGUAAAGAUGAAAUGCUCUGUUGUAUUAAGUAUUGUUUGACGUUUUUGAAAUAAAAGUAUAUGGUUUUACUACUUCGUUGACAAUGACAUUCUUGCUUGGGGAGUUGCCAGCCUACACUGGAUGGUUGACUUAAACUGGAUGUAGCCUGUCAAGUUUGUUACAGCUUUAGUCAACUAAAGUAGAUGUCAAAACUUCUCCAUAAUCAGCUAGUUUUAGCAGGGAGUGCACUCACACAACCCUUAACGAACAACACCUUUAUAAAUACAGAAACUAACCUUAUAUGGUACAUACAAUGCAUUAAAACCCAAAAAGGCACUAAAAUUUUAUCAAUAUUUUUUUUUUAUAACAUUUAAAGACCUUUACAAGUGAGAACUUUAGGAAGGUGAAAAAUGAUGUGUUAAGUAACCCCUGUGAAUUUACUUUAAAAAACAUUCUAAAUUGCUCUGGGAGGUUCCCCUCACUUGAAUAUAAUUUAUACAUGAAAACACAUUUAAGAAAAAUCGUAAGAAACUGAUCUGAAGUUCAACAAAGAAGAUUUGAUUGGAUUGCUAUCCUAAUCAAAUGCUUCUGAAGGCUAAUGUUUUUUAUAUAUAGUAAAAGUACUCGACCAAACUAUAUUACAAUAUGAAAGAUGGAUAAAUUAAACUACAGUAAAGCGUAAGACGACAUUCUGUAGUAAGACACAUAACCCUCCUCAUUAUACCCGUCAAUAUAGGUCUAUUUGUUCUUUGCUCAUCUAAUCAACUUGUUCCCUCCAACUCGGAAGUUUCAUCAACAUAAACUCCCAAGAAUUUAAUAGCACCUCAAUUUUUGAUAAAUCCUUAGGGUAUCCUAUAUUUGAAGUUUAAUAUAAGAAUGUAUGUAUUUGUUUGAAAAAAAAAAAAACGACUUUAAAAAAAUCCAAAACCACCUAUGGAAUGAAGUCAAACAUGGAUAUGUUCUAGAAAAUCAAAAAGAAAUGUGACAUUAGUCAGCAUGUUAAAAUCCCUUAGCAUUGUUUCAAGUACCUUGAUAGAUUAAUACAAACUAUUCUAGAAUCAAAACAUUUAUUUCCUGACAAGUAUACACUGUUGGACAGAGCAACAUGUGGGUUUAAAAUAGGUGCACAAAAACACUUCAUCAAAUGAAAUGUAAACAAGCUGCGGAUCAGCACUUCUGCUAAUCGAUUCUCUUGACAUAUGAUUGUUUUGAGCACAGGAACACCUUGUUCCCUUCCUCACCCAACGGCUCUGGUUUUGGCACAAGGAGGUUUCAAAGAACCCAUGUGGCAAACAGGUGCAAAUUCCUAACUGGUUUUCAACACCAGGUGGCCCUAAAUUGCCACAGUUGAGGAAGGCCCACCAGGGAAGUCUUUUGUAAGCAUUACUGAAGGAAAACUGACAAGAGCAAUGUGUUGAUAGUCCUUGUGCCACAUUUAGAUUACAGUGCAUGGAUGGCAUCUGUUUGUGAGAGGCAUGAAGCAAUGGAGAGGACUUAGGCAGGACAAACCUCUCAAAUUACAUAGAUGAUGAGGAUACACUCCUCUUUGUCAAUGGAAGGAAUGAAGGAACCCACACGUCUCUAUUUCUCCAUGUUCUUCAACUCACUCUGGACUUUACUAAGUUUCAGUCUUAUUUUACCCCAUUCAAUGGUGAGUGUUUCUCCCACUUUGAUAGUCCUUAGUGUCAGCUCAGCUGCUCCGGUCUAUCUGCCAAAAGUAAUAGAUGAGACAACUCGUCCCUUGCCUACUGUGUGCUGUCAAUGAGAUGAUGGCAGAAUACAAGGCUUGUGCAUUAUGAUUGAUAUGCAGCCCUCCAGCUAGGCCACAUUGCCAGUCUAUUGAUUAUUCGCCAGCCUGGUCUCGUGGGAGGGCCUGUUCCUUGGUCAUCCAUCAUACUGACUUUCUCCCAUUUUAUUCAGACAAGAAUAGUUACCAGGAUAAGCUCCUAUUUGAUAGUGCAGGUGCACCCAUUUAGAAUAAAUAUAUAUAUAUAUAUUAUUUGAGUUAAUGGUAUGCUUCAUUUAGGUGAGAUAAGGUUGUAGGUUGGCUAGGUCAUGCUGGCCUGAGCAUCAUGGGAUUUUAAACUAAAUGUAAAUGAAAUAGGCUGUUAUCUUUCUUGAACUAAAUGAUCCCCUUCUAUUUCUUUCACAUAAAACCUGUGAGUUUAUACAGGUUUAAUUUUUUUCAAUAAAUUAUGUAAUCAGGUACAAAAACACUCUGAUUCACUGCCUGUUUCAUCAAGGCCAGUUUUUUUAAAGAAAGUGGCGUUUAUUCCAUUAAUUAUACCAAAAGGUUCAAAUUAGUCUGAAGAUUGAUAACUCAAGGCAAACCAUUUAUCAAAUUGAUUGUAAAUGUAAAUUUUCUUCUAAAUAAUACACAAAUGAAUAAAACAUAUACAGGUUGUCAGUCUGUGGAUUAUGGUAAGCCCUUUCUGAUUACGAGUCAAUUAACAUUUAGCCGUAGGUGACGAAAGUGAACAAGUCUUUGAAUUAUUGAACCGAUUCGUUCAAAUCACUGAUUCAUUCAGGAACGUCACAAUUAUGUUUUGCUUGGAGACGUUCGGUUCGCUGUGGUUACCUUUUCGCUGGCAGAGUAAAUUAAAAUAUUGUGUUUAAAACGUAAGCUUAACAACAUUUUAUCUACAGUUUGUUGAACUAUUGUAUAAAAGAUCAAGAUGCUGUAACACUAACAUCAAUUUAAAUUAAGUUUGGGCGGCUGUUUUUUUUUUCCGAUGUCAGUUGUGUAAAAAUAGAAAGUUAAUGAUCCUACACUGAAAUUGGUUUAAUGUAUACGUAGGCUAAUAUGAUGUUUGACGUUUAGUUUACAUCAAAUCAACUUCAUAUAAAGUUUUUGCCUUCCGUUUGAUUUGUAAAUUUGUCCUGUAUUUUGAUGUCAAUUUGAAGUCUUUUCAACAUCAGUUAACGUUACACACCUGGGUUUUCUAAUCAUGCCAUUAUAUUGUUUGUUUUCCAACUUUGCAUUUGAUUUCUCACCUCAGGUUAGUAAUUUGUCCAACUGUUUUGGCAGAUCUUAUGAGAACAGAGCAGAGAAAUAUGUGUGAAUCAGCUGUUUAGUGCUGGACGAACUGACCAGCUUUUCGCCUUCAGAAAGUACGAGUUGUGUACAAAAAGAUAAAGACAGAGAGAACAGCACUUUGGCCUUCACAGAGACUGGAAGAGACAAGUGCCUGUGGCGUUGUGUUUGGACACACCCACGGAGUGGACUCUGUUGGGCCGAAAGAAAAGGUCACAGAAAUGUCAUGCAGUCAUGUCCUUGAGACGAGGUGGAAGAGAUGCGAUUGGGCCCGGACCCGUCAUCAUCAAGGAGACAGGUGGCCAAGGAGGAAUCGGUCACUAAUGCGGUCGGCUAACUGUGUCAAGGACGCAGAAGCCAAACCUGGUACAGUUCACCUGUGAGAGACCUGAGAGCACGAACGCAGAGAGGAACUGACCCACUAAACCAACUUACAACUCUACAGUCUGCACUCUUCUUGAAAUGAAAGGUUGCAGCCUUGUGGAACUUUGUAUCUAACAUUCUGUUUAUCAUCGGAUCUCUCUCUGCUGUGACUAAUUAUUACCAUUGAUCACUGAGCCUGCUGAUAAGAUGGCCUGAAAGCAUAAUAGAGGUGAGCUGGCAACAAGGCAAGUGACACUGUGUGUUUGUGUGUGUGAUCCGUGACUAACACACAGGUGUGUGCAUCUAUUCAGAAGCUGCACUGCACUGGAAAGCAAGGUCUUAUUUGCAAGACAAAAAGAUAGUCAGCGGCGCUGUUACACACACACACACACACAUACACAAUAAGCGCAGGAUGAGUCACACCGUUCUACAUUUUACUUUCCUCUUAUUUCUCCAUUAUUGAUGCUGAAGGUUUAGAUACCCUAUACAUGCAGUGUCUCUCAGAGGAAUGUUAAGAAGUUUGUUUUGUCAAAAUUAUAAAAGACACCAAAUACAGUAUGUCAGGCAGGGCCAGAGGUCACUGUGAGUGUGUGUGUGUGUGUGUGUGUGGCACGCUGUGUGAUAGUUGAGCAGGAGAUAAUAAUGCUAGCUUUAUUUAGCUCCCACUGACUUUCUGCCAAACCCACGACAGCAUGGAGGUGAAUGCGUACAAACACAUGUGUGCGCGCACGCACACUCACACACACACACACACACACCAUUAAAUACCUUCCAGCACUUCAUUAGUGCUGUGUAAACAUUUCAGUCAUUCAUUCAGCCCUUCACUUGAAGUGUUGUUGUCUUUUAUUGUUUGAUCACUGUUUUUCCACAUGCAAUUCCAUCUGUGUUUGUGGAGCAGACUGUUUUUCAUAACAUAGUCACUUUUUUCAGUCAAACCUGUGAUGUUUAUGAUGUGGGUUAGCGGAUGUCAUGGUGAUACAACUGGUCUGAUAUCAGAAUGAAGAAAGAGCCUCGUUAAAGCACCUUUCAAAAUUAGUUUGACAUUAUAUUUAGUUAUUUAUUUAUUUACUCACUCACUUACUUCAUAGAACCCCAUGCAAAAAUCAAAGUUUUUUGCUUUGUCAGGACAGCUACCCACAAAACAAAAUAUAAUGAUAUUAAUAAUAAACAAUAUUUGUAAUAAAUAGAUAUAUUUAAAUACAUUUUACUUUAAAAAUAUAUUUGUUUUAUAUGUG